GACGUUUUUCAAUGAUGUGAAAAAUAAAUAUUUGUAUUCACAGCAGGCACGAGUUUCGUACAUCAAAGGACCUUAAUUCUCUGUGGCUGAUGAAGAGUAAUAGAAAAAAAUUACACCAACAGAAAUGUUUGUUGUAGCGGUGGAGUUAAUGUUCUAGAAAAGCCUAAUACAUGUUAUCCUUUUAAUCCUGCCUGAUAAUAAACAUGAAAACAUCGCGUCAGUUACGUGAUAUGCGAGGAUUACAGGCUUAGGGAGUUCAUCAAAGUCCACCGUGGAGACAGUGCCGCUCGUAAGUACGGAUAAUAUUUUUUUUUUUUACAAUAUGAAUCUCUGUUUUAUCAGGAUGUAAAAGUGCUUGAACCAACAUUGUAGGAGGUAUGAAUUUUACUCCCGCGACGUGUUACAUAAUAGUAGAAAGAUAAGAUAGUAUUAGUAAUAUAAAGAUAGUAUUGUCAUCUCCAACAAUUCUUCAGAACAUUCCCUAUGAAACGCACAGUACAAAGCACAAAGAAAAUUAAUGCUGUUCCAUAGUCUACACUAGUUGACUUAUUCACAAAUGAUGUAUGUUUUUUUUUACUAUUAAAUGUGACAGUUUUCUAUUAUAUACAA